GCCUCCAAAGAAUAACAGCCAUUCAUUGGUCUUAGGAACCAAAAACUCUUGGUGCAAAUCCAAGUGGGGGCU
rnacentral:tRNA from 1 species